rnacentral:rRNA from 1 species
GUGCCAGCAGCCGCGGUAAGACGUAGGGUCCAAGCGUUGUCCGGAUUUACUGGGCGUAAAGAGCGCGUAGGCGGUCUGUUAAGUGAGAAGUGAAAUCUCCAGGGCUCAACCCGGAAACUGCUUUUCAUACUGGCAGACUUGAGGGAUGCAGAGGUGAAUGGAAUUCCUGGUGUAGCGGUGAAAUGCGUUGAUAUCAGGAGGAACACCCAUGGCGAAGGCAGUUCACUGGGCAUCAUCUGACGCUGAGGCGCGAAAGCGUGGGUAGCAAACAGGAUUAGAUACCCUGGUAGUCC